GAAACCUUCCUCCUUCUCCGUGAUACGAGUGAAAUUUCUCCUUCUGACUCUUGCCCUAGCAGACCCCUCUUUCUCCGUUUCUCCGUUAAUUUCUUUUCUGUUCCAACGCCGCUUCCUUCUCCGUUAAAUCGCUCCAACACUCCCUGGCCGGCGGUAACAAGAGCAUUUGAGGGUCCAGAAAAAUCCGCAGAGGAACACAUUUACCUGUUUAUUGCUUUCUCACCUAUUAAUGUCGAACUUGAAAGUAUACACAAU